GAGAUGGGACACAAGGGGUCGGUCGCUUACCUCCAGGUCUACCGGUGAAGCCUUGGGGCCGAAUAGGAGUAGGCUGGGGUGGGAAGUCGUACGCGCUAAGGCUUGGGCAGCGGCGAGACUUCGACGGUGGUCCGGCGGCGGCGGUGCUUCAACGGUGCUCCGGCGGCGGCGGUGCUUCUUGCGGACACCAGCAAGCUCGAGUACCGCGCGGAGGAGCGAGCGGCUGGUGG
rnacentral:lncRNA from 1 species